rnacentral:lncRNA from 1 species
AUCAAACUGAUGUUGAGAGAUUCAAGUUGAUUGGGGAAUUGGAAAGGCCAUUGAGACACGAGCUUGCAUUUCAAUUUGCGGAGAUUGGGAGCACAUCCCAAAACUUUUGCAUCUAUUUCAUUAUGAAUAAGAAGUGUAGAAAUAGAUUGUAGGUUAUUUAUUUGGAAGCUUCCAUCCGUAGUUGCUCUUAAAUGAGAAGAUUCACUGAAGCGUGCACCACCUCCAAAAUGCAGACGUUUCAAAUACUUCAUGUUAAGAACAAAAUCAGGUAUUUCAACUUCAUCUCUGUUCUCCACCUGAAGAUAUUCUAGUCUGUGGAGUUUUUCUAUUAAUGGCAGUUUAAGUUUUUCUUGAACUUUCAAGUACCUCAAGUGAACCAAGUUUUCAAUUCCUUCAUGUACAUCUUUAAAUGAAUACCAGCUCAAUGAAUACCAAUAUGGUCCUGACAAAUCCAUGACCCUGCGGCCUAACUGAGAGUGAACAUAUGGAUCAAAUGGUCUUAGGAAACAAAGACGCUGCAUAUCCAAGAUACUCUUAUCUUUCUUGCACUUCGAAUAUCCGCUGAAGAACCAAUGUGGCGACAACAAAAUCACAUCCAAUCAUCAUCAGAAGCAAAAACAUCGUUAGUGUGACCAUCAAAGUUAGUUACAUUAUCAAUAAUCUAGAUAGAAAUAGAAGAAAGUGAACAAGGAAAGAACAGAGACAAAGAACUUACUUUUCGAUCCCUCCCAUAAAGUUUUCUUCUUUGGCUAUCCUCAAGCAUAAAUCAUGCAGUAGAUCAUGAAUCGUGCAAGCUUUGACUCCACCAUUUGAUCUUUCUUCAGCAACUAGUACCAGACCCCUAUUAAUUAGAUCCAUUAGAUAAUCGAGUGCCACAUCCUCUGAGCUCCUGUGGGUUUCUUUGUUUAUAAACCCUUCGGCAACCCACAGAGAUAUCAACUUCUGUACUGGGAUUUUUUCAUCUUCUUCAAAUACUCCAAAAUAUAGAAAACAUGGUUUCAAAUGAACUGAUAAAUGCUGGUAACUAAGUUUCAGUAUAUGGACGCAAUUAUUUGUGCUGUCAAAUAUGUGUGCAUUUAAAUGUCGCGCUAUUUCUCCCCAUGAGCUCUCUUUCUUCUGCAUAUUUGCAAGAAUGGAAGAUAUCAUAAUGACUGACAUCGGUAGACCGUGACAUCUUGAGGCAAUAUGCUGACCAAUCCCUUGCAAUUCUGGAGGGCAAGGUUCUGUUUGGAACACUUUCCGCUGUAAUAAUUCCCAACAUUCAGCACCUGAUAGGAACGGAAGUUCAUUAACAACAUUAUCGAAACCCAAUUCUUUGUUCCGAGAUGUGAAUAAGAUUCUACUUCCUGUUAUAUCAUCUGGAAAAUAUCUUCGCAGAUCAUCCCACGUUCUAGUGUCCCAUACAUCAUCCAGGACAAUGAGGUAUCUCAUUCCUUUUAAACUUUUGUAAAGCAUUUCAGCCAAAUCUUCUUCCUCCAUUUCCGUGAUUGUUUCUCUAUUAUGGUUUCUUGUCGAUGUCAAAAUGUCAAUCAAUACAUUUUUCUUCUUAUAUGUUUGAGAAAGCACACACCAAGCACAUUUGUCGAAAUAAUAGACAAUGGAAGGAUCAUUGAACAAUUUCUUUGCUAAAGUAGUCUUACCAAGUCCAGGCAUUCCAACAAUGGAAAUAAUUUGUUGCUUUAGUGGUCCACUGGUGAGUUGAUCAGCAAUUUUGGUUUUCUCAUCGUUGAAACCCACAAAAUCGUCUUCCAAAUUUUUAAGUUCUUUAGCUUGAGGCUGUAUUUGCUCACAUGGAUAUUCUCCUUCUGGUAUUCCAGCGUCAAUACUACCGCUCUUCUUUUCUUGUAUUGCCUUCUUAAAAAGAUGAAUCUUCUCCAGGAGUUGAGAGAGCCUAAGGGUGAGAUACCAGACAGGAGUAACCGAGUUGAUAACAUAUGAAAUUUCAUAUGCUAAGUCUCUGGUUUUCAUCGCAAGUUCCUCAAGUUGUAAGUGCCGCGCCACAUCUAUAUAAUUGAGGGUGGAUCUCAACAACGAUAUCUCCUCGGCGAGCAUUAUGAUUUGAUCCUUCACGGGGACGAUCCUGUCAGCCUCAUAAUUGAUCAGGUCCUCAAGAUCAUCGAGGAGAGAAUCCACAGCGAAGAACGAAAUCACCCUACUCUUUGUAGCGUCACAACCUGGUAAAUUUGGGACAGUGAUGCAGUGCUCCUCGAUCCUUUUUUUCAAGAGCUCAAACUUUUUUAAGAAAUCAGAAAGAGAAAGACUUAAUCUUACAGUCUCCAGGACUCUAUCAUCCCUUGUUGAAAAUAAUGAAUAUAAGAAGUUUCCAACCUCAUUGACUACAACUUCGAUAUCUGACAAUAUAAUCUUGGUUACGUCCACCUCAGUGCGUAACGGUGCAUCUCCAAGAAAGCUGAUAAGAAAUCCAAGUUCUGUCUGGAGGUUUUGGAUUGAACCCUUGACUGGAACAAUGAAAUCUGGUUCAAGACGCAUUAUUUCUUCUAAAAGUUGGAGGAUAAAGUCGAUAAACACCAUAACAAGUUCAUUAGGAUGGGGAGUAGGAGUAAUCUUGGACAUUCGCUGCUUUGGGAUUGUGAAGACGACCCUCAGAUCUUGCACAAGUGACAUCAGCAACUCAAAGAAUUUUCUGCGUCCUUUGGAUUGUAUAGACCCGCAAUAUUUUUGUAGUAAACGAAUUUCAUGGGCAUAACUGAAGCACAGUUUUCCCGAAUACUCAAUGGCAAUUGGAACAAGUCCUCUCUGUCCAACAAAUGUUUCGAAAUUUUCAUCUCCUUCGAGUGAAUUUUCGAUGCGAUUACUGAAUUUUCUAUCUCCAAGAAUUUCUCUGAGAAAUUUUGGACAGUGAAAUUCUGGAGAGGGAUCCAUCUUUCUUCCUCACUUUCCACCUUUUCUUCAACUUUUCAGGUUUCUUUCAAUUUCUUAGUAUGAAUCAGUGUCUCUUUACGGAAAAUACGGGGGAUGGACGAAUUGCAGGGGAAGAUGUAUGUAUGAUUGCAUUCUACUACAGAAAAUAUAUUUAAUAACAAAAGUCCAAUCUUCAUUACAAACUCUAAACUAAAAUAUUGAAUUCACUGUUUCUCAUAGGAUUAAUAAUUAUAGAAUUUAAGUCGCCCGAGGCAUAGCUCAGUGGUGCAAAGGAUAGGAAUGAUAUUAUCUCACGCCUUACUGACAGCCGCAAUGUGGGGGUUCGAUUCCUGAGACAUGGAAUUGGACUCCUUGUAGGCGCAGUGUAUAGGCAACUCUUGUUCCCUGGCCUGUUGGGACACAUCCUGCGAUUUACCUCCCUCACAAAGCUCUAGGGAAGGGACUGUGGGGGCUCUCAAGAUUGGGUUCAACCUUUUUAAUAAUUAUAGAAUUUAAAUAUAGAAUUGCCGACAACUAGAGACAGCGAUGAUUGAAUUAAAGUGAAAUUAAAGAAAAGCAGAGUUCAAAUGAGGGAAUCUUCCAAUGUUCACAUCAUGCGGUAUAUGGGUGUAAUAAGUGAUUUCUAUAAGCCAUUUUUUUUUAAAUAAUAGAAAUAAAUCAAUAAACUAUAUGGAGGAGGAAAAACAAACACAAAAAUUUAUGUGAACACAUGGGUUUUCAACUUCCACAUUCAAUAAUUAGGUUUAAACUUAUUUAUUCAAAAAUCAUGUCAUAAGUCAAUUUUUUUAUAUUAACAAUAAUAUUAUUAAACCUCUGUUUGCAUCCCAUUUUAGGCCUAUUUUUAGACAAUUUCCGAUUGUUGCACGGUAAUUUUUUGCAUUCAAUUUCUACUGUUUCUGGCAAAGAAAUGACUGCAGCCUGUCAAAAAAAUUCUUUUGACUUUUAGCUUUCCCUUUUGUUGCCCCUAACACUCCCAAUUAGUAAAUCAAGUCAAACAAGGAAAUGACGGUAAAAUUGGAAAUUUGAUUUUUAUAUACCAAGAAAAUAUCUACAGCGUGUGGACCCUCAAAUGUUUAAUUAAUGGCUCCCUCUCUCUCUCUCUCUCUCUCUCUCUCUCUUACAGUAAUCAUUUUGUUGGGCAAACCUAUACUUGUCCGUAUUCUUCUAAAAUGAAAGGUAUCUAAUACUAAAUACUAAACACAAGACUCAAAUAUAAUUAAAAAAUUAUUUUGAUAGAAUUUAGAGAGAGAAUGAAUUAAAAAUCAAUUAUUUGAAAUUAAUUUGAAAUGAAGAAAAUGCAAUUAACGUGUCAAUUCGUAUGGUCGAAUCUUUCGAGGAGAUCACUCAAUUUUGAAUAAUUCCGAAGUGCCCGAAAAUGGGUGAUCGAAUGGGUAACCGAUCUUCACAUGAAACGUGGACCUCGCGUGAAUAAAAUAAUGCCCGAUCCCUGAGAUGUGAGUAUUCGGUCAUAACGCAUGUCAAUCAUUAUGUUUGUGUAGCAUGGCCUCUCAAUUUUCUAUCUUCCAAAAUUUCUCUGAGGAUUUCUACAGGGGGGUCCAUCUUUCUUCCUCACUUUCCAAAUUUUCUUCAAUUUUUGAGAUUUAAAACUUUUGGCAUUUUUAUUAUCAGGGAUGACACCUAGAAUAGAAUCAGAUAUCGAUCGCUUAAUGAUUUUCAAACAGAGUUUGUUAGCCCUUUUUCAUUUUUCAUGUUCGGCUACAUAUUCAACGGUAUUUUUAUCUGUGGGUCUCUCAAGAUUUUUCUCCAUUGCAAAAUUCAAGCCCAAAAGACCAAGUGCUAUUUCUACGUCUCGUUUCCAUCUCACAUAGUUAUUCCCAGUCAAUGUUUCAAUAGUAGACAAUUGAUUCGAAAGAGAUAAGACAUUAUAAACUGUGGAAACAUAAAAUAUCACACUCAAUAUCAUCCAAACAUAAUGCAUGCAAUCAAAUGGAUGAUAUAAUAUCCAACUAAUUAAUAUGGGCUAUUAAUUAGAUAAUCUGUAAUUUAAAUCGAAACAUAUGAAUUUUAUUACGGUAAGAGCCUAGGUGCAUCAUCAUAAAGUCACCUUUGGAUUGACAAUACAACAUGCUAUAAGGUACUCUUAAAAUUUAUCAUGC